rnacentral:rRNA from 1 species
UACGGAGGGUGCGAGCGUUGUCCGGAUUUACUGGGCGUAAAGAGCGCGCAGGCGGUCGUCCAAGUCGCGUGUGAAAGCCCCCGGCUCAACUGGGGAGGGUCACGCGAUACUGGUCGACUCGAAGGCAGGAGAGGGUAGUGGAAUUCCCGGUGUAGUGGUGAAAUGCGCAGAUAUCAGGAGGAACACCAGUGGCGAAGGCGGUGCUCUGGGCCGGAACUGACGCUGAGGAGCGAAAGCGUGGGGAGCAAACAGG